CUUAAGGGGAGGAGGGCUCUCAUUUGAUGACAUAGGAGACAUGGUGAAAUGAUGUCUUCCUGUCCCCUUCUUCAUCCUUUAUGCAAUCCUGGGGCUUAUAGUUUGAUGAGGCAUUGAAGUGCUGUAGCUGAGAAUCCCAAAUGUCCUUCUUUAAACUCUAAAUGUCAGGAUUCCAUAGUGCAGAACUGUGAAAAUUAAAGUGUACUAAUACCACUGGACCAGUAUAGUGUGAAUGAGUCCUGUGACCUUGUCACAUGGCCACCAGAAUUGUCAUGUAUUAUGGCAGAUCCAGCAAUCCUUGUCCUGGUGUGUGGGGAACUCAAUGCCAGUGUCUGGUUCCUGACGAAGCUGAUCCUUUGUGAGGAAGCAUUGACCAUGCAGCUUCCCCCCAUUGCUUCCUAUGGCAACAUGGGAAGCCUCCCAUGUUGCCGCAGUGAUGGCAGGUGCCGACUUCACCUUAGAUCAUCCUUGGAGCUCUGACAGAAGUUCCUCUGUGUCAUUUGAUGGGAGCCAGUGGACUCUGUGGAUGACCUAGGGCUUAACUGACAUAUGUCGUUGGUUUAAGCCCUAUAUGAUGUGGCUAGGCUGCAUUCAUCAGUCAAUUGGGUCAGGAAGGCCUUGCCAGAAGGUUUCACAUGGCAUGGAUUAACAAGAAUUUUCUGCAGUUUCCUUCAUGGUUUUUAUUGUUCGAAAACCAUUGAUGGCCAAUGUACUUGAAAAGGAGUCCCUAUCUCAGAGAGGAUGAGAUCAAGAAUGAUAUUCUACUUGGAUGAAGAGAGCUGCUAUGGAUGGCAGGAGACAGUGGCACCUGUAAAUGACAUCACUAGUGAGCACUUGCCUUUUGCUCAAAAAUGGUGUGGCUUUUGAUAACAAGCAGAGACAGGAGGAAGAAAAAAAACUAUUCAAAUGAGAAAGAAGAGGUUGCUGGAGAAAGGGGAGGAAAAAAAACAGAAGAGAAAAAUGGGUACAGAUGCAAUCAAAGUGGGUGUAGGUGCAGAGAAGCUGUGUGAAAGAAUCAUAUUAUCAAAGAGCUGAAAGACAACACAUCUAACUACUGAACCCUAACUCUAAAAUAAAUUCAAUAAUUUGGACCUGUAUCUUUUCCAAGGCAUAUUCAUUGUUCAUUGAUAUGACACUCAGAUGGUGUUGUAUAUGCAUAGACGAGAACAAAAAUGUCCCUAUUCAUGCUGGUCCUAUGACAGUGGUCAGUAGACAUCAGGUGAAUAUGCUAAUUAAAAAUAAAACCAAAUGUAUUUUCUGGAAAAUA